UACGUAGGGUGCAAGCGUUGUCCGGAAUUAUUGGGCGUAAAGAGCUCGUAGGCGGUCCGUCACGUCGGCUGUGAAAACCCGGGGCUCAACUCCGGGCCUGCAGUCGAUACGGGCGGACUAGAGUACUGCAGGGGAGACUGGAAUUCCUGGUGUAGCGGUGAAAUGCGCAGAUAUCAGGAGGAACACCGGUGGCGAAGGCGGGUCUCUGGGCAGUAACUGACGCUGAGGAGCGAAAGCGUGGGGAGCAAACAGG
rnacentral:rRNA from 1 species